AUUGAACGCUGGCGGCAGGCUUAACACAUGCAAGUCGAGCGUGCGAGGUUGCUUCGGUAACUGAGCUAGCGGCGGACGGGUGAGUAACGCUUAGGAAUCUGCCUAUUAGUGGGGGACAACAUUCCGAAAGGGAUGCUAAUACCGCAUACGUCCUACGGGAGAAAGCAGGGGAUCUUUAUUACCUUUCGCUAAUAGAUGCGCCUAAGUCGGAUUAGCUAGUUGGUGGGGUAAAGGCCUACCAAGGCGACGAUCUGUAGCGGGUCUGAGAGGAUGAUCCGCCACACUGGGACUGAGACACGGCCCAGACUCCUACGGGAGGCAGCAGUGGGGAAUAUUGGACAAUGGGGGGAACCCUGAUCCAGCCAUGCCGCGUGUGUGAAGAAGGCCUUUUGGUUGUAAAGCACUUUAAGCGAGGAGGAGGCUUACCUGGUUAAUACCUGGGAUAAGUGGACGUUACUCGCAGAAUAAGCACCGGCUAACUCUGUGCCAGCCGCCGCAGUAAAAC
rnacentral:rRNA from 1 species